CUGCGCUCAGCCCAAGACCUACUCCUAUCCUCUGCCCGGAUCCCCACCUCUGAUGCUCGCCUUUAAGACUUCUCCAGGGCUGCACCUAUUCUGUGGAACUCCCUUCCCUCCUCAAUCAGACUUUUACCCAGCCUCCAUUCCUUCAAAAAAUCUUUGAAAACUCACUUCUUCAUUAAAGCAUAUCAAUUAAACUGUCAACAGGUUUCUC